UGUCUCUUUGUGUGACCUUAUUGCCCUGUUUAUCCGUGUUUUUCGCAAAGAGAGGAUCUUGCAGAGGAUAUCAAUUAUCCCAUCGUCAUCUAAACGGAGUAGGGUUUCUCCGUGCCGAAGGCGAAACGUAUUACUACAAAGAGCACAAUUGUUUAACAACUGGUUAUACCUGGAAUUCAACACACGAAUACUGCUAUAAGUACCAUACUAAGUGGAGAAUUCCCAGUGGGGCCAUUAACCGAUGCUAUAUGGAAGACCCAAGAAGUCAUCUUUUUCUUGUCGACUCAGAAAACGCGCUUGAAUUCUUGCAGUACAUAAUUGACCUUUAUGAAACAAUUAUGUACCUACAAGGAAAAAGAAAAGACGGGUCUUCUCCAUUCCUGGACGACUUUGGAAGAAAUAUCACUUUUUUUAAUUGGAAAGAAAAUGAGCCUUCAACACGUGACAGAGAUGUUUACAUACGCACAACUGCUGAAAAUUCUGCACUUAUGGAAGUAUCAACUGGCUCAACUUAUAAACAUUUCAUUUGUUUCAUUAUGUAACAUGUUUUAUUCAAAGACUGCGAUGAAAAACACCCUUACUACGUUGAAGUUAUACUCAAAAUAAAAAAUAAUAUUUAGAAUAAUUAGGAAUCAUCAGGUUUUUUUUUAUUAUAACAGUACUUAUCAUCAUAAGACAUACGUGUAUAUACAUAUUUGUAUAAAUCGCUUUAUGCUUGAUACUGAUAUUUUUGUAUUUAAAAAUGAAUAUUAUAAUACACCAAA